UAGGUUGACAUGCAAUCAGGUUGUGAUUGUUUAGUUUUGAUUACAUAAACUUAGUUUUGACUACAUAAACUGUGCGCAUGGGAUUUUGGAUGGAUUCCAUCCAAAUGUAAAGCAAGCGUUCGCUUUUACGCAAGUCAUGAUGACCAUUUGGCUGUACCCUUGUCUUGUUAAACACCUCAUGGAAACGUUGUACCGUCCUCUCACAAAGGCUGAAAACCAUCGGUGGGCGCCAUUACUCUAAAAGUGAAGGCGAGCAGUUCCUUUCUCUCAAUCCAGCAAACUCGAGCCUCAACAAACAACCCUGACUGCAGUCUGGAGCGUAAUUUUCUACUCAAGAAAAAAAAUAGGGUUACCUACAUCUUGGAUGAGGGACGGCUGAUUCAGAGGCGGUCUUUUCACAUCAUCUCCAUUGUCAUUCCACUAUUUGAAUCCAUUUACACCCUCUCCAAUGGUCUUGUGUUGGGAGCUGCUGGUUUUCACGCAUGCGGAUGAGACCGAGGAGGGCACGGUGUUGGCCGAGGUGGGAGACUGUUGGCUGCCCUGGGGGAGGAGUAUGAGCUAGGUGUAGGAAAUGCAAGUAAACACAUUAAGCCCUCGGGACUCCAGCGGUGUUUAGAGUGAGAUCGGGAGCUCCUGAGGGCCAACAGCUACACCCCAAAAAGAGU